GGUUAUUAUUCGAUUGAUUUGCACCUGGUUGCUGGUGAUGCGACUCCCAUCAGUGCGAAUAUCUUUCCGAUUCAAGCUUGAAGGCUUCAACCUUCCAGCAGCAAGCCGUGCAACCAAUCUUCGACGGACAAUUAAGCUCGCUCACAAGACAAUCGACUGUCGACAUCCUUCAAUCUCCGGCGACCCUCAGCGCCGGCUGCAACCAUAUUGAUUUUUAAGGAACGACAAUUUGAGUUUGAGGUGAUUUCGAUCAUAAGCUCAUAUAAAUUUCACCAAAG
rnacentral:misc_RNA from 1 species